UUGGACUGCCAAAAUGUCCUAAAUACAUCAGAUCCUGUUUGAUCUUAAAGGUGAAGCAGGAUCAUCUCUGGUUACUACUUGGAUAAGAGGCUACGAAUGAAUACUAGAUGCUGUAAGAU
rnacentral:rRNA from 1 species